AGUGAACGCUGGCGGUAGGCCUAACACAUGCAAGUCGAACGGCAGCACAGUAAGAGCUUGCUCUUACGGGUGGCGAGUGGCGGACGGGUGAGGAAUACAUCGGAAUCUACUUUUUCGUGGGGGAUAACGUAGGGAAACUUACGCUAAUACCGCAUACGACCUACGGGUGAAAGCAGGGGAUAUUCUGACCUUGCGCGAUUGAAUGAGCCGAUGUCGGAUUAGCUAGUUGGCGGGGUAAAGGCCCACCAAGGCGACGAUCCGUAGCUGGUCUGAGAGGAUGAUCACCCACACUGGAACUGAGACACGGUCCAGACUACUGCGGGAGGCAGCAGUGGGGAAUAUUGGACAAUGGGCGCAAGCCUGAUCCAGCCAUACCGCGUGGGUGACGAAGGCCUUCGGGUUGUAAAGCCCUUUUGUUGGGAAAGAAAAGCAGCAGGUUAAUACCACGCUGUUCUGACGGUACCCAAAGAAUAAGCACCGGCUAACUUCGUG
rnacentral:rRNA from 1 species